rnacentral:rRNA from 1 species
UACGGAGGGUGCAAGCGUUGUCCGGAAUCACUGGGCGUAAAGGGCGCGUAGGCGGCUCGGUAAGUAGGGGGUGAAAUCCUGCGGCUUAACCGCAGGGCUGCCUUCUAAACUGGCGAGCUUGAGCACGGUAGAGGCAGAUGGAAUUCCCGGUGUAGCGGUGGAAUGCGUAGAGAUCGGGAAGAACAUCAGUGGCGAAGGCGGUCUGCUGGGCCGUUGCUGACGCUGAGGCGCGACAGCGUGGGGAGCAAACAGG